rnacentral:lncRNA from 1 species
UCAGAAAUUCUAUUAAAUAAAUAUGAUAUUUAUCUCUAAAAAUAACAUUUUAAUCACUAAAAGAUAAUAAAACUUUCAUGCUUAUCUAAUCACUUUAAGCAAUUCAGUAGGGAAUCCUAAUACCCUAGUCAACUCAGCUUCUAAUUUUUUCAAAUAUGUCACAUUCAAGUGAAUUGAACUCAACAUAAAAGAAACAUAUUCAAGGCUCAAGUGGAGAAACAAUUUCGUUAUAAUAGGACAUGUAAUAGCCAAUUUUGGCCCAGGUAAAUAAACAAAAAAUAAAACCCAAAUAACCAAAUAAAAAAUCUAAAUUUUAAGUCCAUUUACAACAUAUGUAUAACCCUAGCCCAACUACACAAAACAUUUCAGCGAAACCCUAGCCCUUCCAAGCUUCAACCGCCGCAUGCCUUGGCCACCACGCCCCUAAUCGGCUCCUCUUCCACGUGUCGCACGACACCUGUAACAAAAUCAAGUAGAACAGCAAAAAAGGCACGCGAAUGACAAAGAAGUAAUUAGCAAAAGAACAAAAACCAUGAAACCAACUGUUGGUAGAUUGGCUUUAAAAGCCAAGAUCUAUUCUUUGUAAACGGUUACGAACACUUACAAACAUCAGAAAAUAAAAACAAAAGAAAACUUCGAAAGGUGAUUUUAAUCUUCACUUCCGUUUCAGAUUGUUGCUUGGUUCUUUUAUUUUAUUUUUUUCUUCAUUUUUUUGUUCAUAAAUAUUAAGUAAUAAUAAUAAAAAAGGGGAAAAGCCCAUCUUCGCACACCGUCGGCCACCGAGUACGGUGGUGGUACGGCGGGCGGUGAUGGAAUCCGAUUCGUCGGAGAAACAAAGGGGGAGAGAGUGUUUUGUGUUUUUUUCUUUGGAAAAUAAAAGAAGAAACGGCAGAUUGAAUAAAGAAGGAAAUUUUAUGGUUUUAAAUCAUUUGAAACGGCGCCGUUUGGUGAGUAGGGGUUUGUGCAUUCUCCCUAAAUGGGAGAUUUGUGCGAUUGGUCCUUCUCCUUCGCAACCACAUUCAAUCAGGCCCCAUUUUCUGUUUUCUUUUGUUUUUAAAAUUUAGCCCUCAGAUCUUGUUUGGUUUUCGUUUUGAUCCCUAAUUAACCUUUUAGUAUUUAUACUUUUAUACCCCG